rnacentral:ncRNA from 1 species
AAGAAAAUUAAAUCCUUUCGUAUAAUUCCGGGAAUAGGCCCGGAAGUCUCUACGAGGUCACCGUAAAUGAUCUGGCUACGAAAAGA